GAUGAAGAACGCAGCGAAAUGCAAUAAGUAAUGUGAAUUGCAGAAUUCAGUGAAUCAUCGAAUCUUUGAACGCACAUUGCGCCCAUUAGUAUUCUAGUGGGCAUGCCUGUUCGAGCGUCAUUAAGUCCACUUAAGCCCUGCUUAGUGUUGGGAGACUGCUCCAGCGGUGCUACCCUGUAGCUACCCUGCAGCUCCUCAAAGACAGCGGCGGAGUUGUGGUAUCCUCUGAGCUUAGUAACUUGUUCUAGCUUUCGAGUACACCACUUCCCCUGCCGUAAAACCCUUAAUUUUUAAUGGUUGACCUCGGAUCAGGUAGGAAUACCCGCUGAACUUAAGCAUAUCAAUAAGCGGAGGA
rnacentral:misc_RNA from 1 species